GAUGAACGCUGGCGGCGUGCUUAACACAUGCAAGUCGAACGAUGAAGGAGGAGCUUGCUCCUCUGGAUUAGUGGCGAACGGGUGAGUAACACGUGAGCAAUCUGCCCCUGACUCUGGGAUAAGCGUUGGAAACGACGUCUAAUACCGGAUACGAGCCGAGCAGGCAUCUGCCUCGGUUGGAAAGAACUUCGGUCAGGGAUGAGCUCGCGGCCUAUCAGCUAGUUGGUGAGGUAAUGGCUCACCAAGGCGACGACGGGUAGCCGGCCUGAGAGGGUGACCGGCCACACUGGGACUGAGACACGGCCCAGACUCCUACGGGAGGCAGCAGUGGGGAAUAUUGCACAAUGGGCGCAAGCCUGAUGCAGCAACGCCGCGUGAGGGACGACGGCCUUCGGGUUGUAAACCCCUUUCAGUAGGGACGAAGCGCAAGUGACGGUACCUGCAGAAGAAGCACCGGCCAACUACGUGCCAGCAGCCGCCGUAA
rnacentral:rRNA from 1 species